rnacentral:misc_RNA from 1 species
UCGUACAACAGGAGGUGCCGAGGUUGUCGCUGACCCCUCUAAAGGGGUCGUGCACGCCUCGAGCAUUCUUACUCCUCAUCCACCUCACCCCUUGUGCAUCCCCGCGUGGGCUUUUUCUCUUUCGAGAGAAAGAGCCGGCGUCUUUAUACAAACACAAAUCGGUGUAGAAUGUUCUUUUGCAUUUAUAUGCAGUUAAUA